ACAUUAUUUUAACCAUGCCAUAAGUAGAAUUUAGUCAUUAGGUUUUGACAUUUCUUUCCUGUGGAUGUUUGUUGAGAUUAAUAUGGUUAGAUUUUGAUUUUACCAUGAUUUUUCCAUUGGGUUAAUUCUCAUUCAAUUGGACUAUUGUGUGAUUGAUUUGUAUAAUCAUGUAGUUUAGAUUCAAUUCUUGAAUUUGGAUUGUGAAUUUCACAUUUGAUUAAUUUCGAUUCUAAUUCAUGUUGGUUUAUGAUCAUUUUGAAUAAAUUGAACAAACUCACUUGAGCGUCGAAGCCAUGUUCAAAGUACAAAACAACGACAACAAAAUCUAGAAAUCUGGUGACGAAACUCAAAUCGACCAAAACCGGUUCUUACCCACAAAGACGUCGAGCUCCUAAUGCAACAAACUCGUGCAAGCAAACACUUGUGUUCGCGUCGUUGAUGAUGUUGAUUCGUGAUGAAAAACCUCGUGUUGGUGAUGACCCCGUUUUUCAGAUCGUGUUUCUUUGAGGAUGGACGAUGAAGACAGAGCUUCACGUUCUUGAUAAUGAAGAAUGAAGAUAAGGUUCUGCGUGUUGGCGAUUCAUGUACGUUAGCAAAGAAGAGUGAAGAUUGAAAGAUAACCUUCUCUCCGCGUCGACUUCCAAUGUUCUGGUGCAGUAUUCAGGUUAUAUAGGUUGUCAUUGUUUGGACCAAUGCUAUGGGAUUGAGCUUGGAGUCAUGCUUGGGAAAGGAUGGUUAUGGACCAUUGCGUUGACUUGCUUGGAUUAGAUUUCUACGGAAUGCUACGGCCUUGUGGGACAUUAUUGUAACGACUUAUGUCAUGAAUUUGAAAUGAUUGUAAAGUUGGAAAUGAAUGUAAAUGUAUGUAUUUAAAUGGAAUGAAUGGUUGUAAAAGUUCGUUGGAAAUGAAUAUGAAAUUAGGUAAUGGCCUAUGUUGUAACUUUGAAAUUGAAAUAUUGUAAUUGGAAUGUUAAUGAAUGAAAAUUAUUAUGGUA